rnacentral:rRNA from 1 species
AUUGAACGCUGGCGGCAGGCUUAACACAUGCAAGUCGAGCGGAGAUGAGGUGCUUGCACCUUAUCUUAGCGGCGGACGGGUGAGUAAUGCUUAGGAAUCUGCCUAUUAGUGGGGGACAACAUUCCGAAAGGAAUGCUAAUACCGCAUACGCCCUACGGGGGAAAGCAGGGGAUCUUCGGACCUUGCGCUAAUAGAUGAGCCUAAGUCGGAUUAGCUAGUUGGUGGGGUAAAGGCCUACCAAGGCGACGAUCUGUAGCGGGUCUGAGAGGAUGAUCCGCCACACUGGGACUGAGACACGGCCCAGACUCCUACGGGAGGCAGCAGUGGGGAAUAUUGGACAAUGGGCGGAAGCCUGAUCCAGCCAUGCCGCGUGUGUGAAGAAGGCCUUAUGGUUGUAAAGCACUUUAAGCGAGGAGGAGGCUACUGAGACUAAUACUCUUGGAUAGUGGACGUUACUCGCAGAAUAAGCACCGGUUAACUCCGUGCCAGCAGCCGCCGUAAAAC